CUCGUAGGCGGCCAACUAAGUCAGACGUGAAAUCCCUCGGCUUAACCGGGGAACUGCAUCUGAUACUGGAUGGCUUGAGAUCGGGAGAGGGAUGCGGAAUUCCAGGUGUAGCGGUGAAAUGCGUAGAUAUCUGGAGGAACACCGGUGGCGAAGGCGGCAUCCUGGACCGACACUGACGCUGAUGAGCGAAAGCCAGGGGAGCAAAACGG
rnacentral:rRNA from 1 species